rnacentral:lncRNA from 10 species
GUAAAAAAUGUGUGGCUCUCAACACCAACGAAUGAAGUAUGUUUGCCUAAUUCCUAUAACUUUCUAGGAUAAAGAUUGUUUCUAUGAAGAGAGAGUACUCAGUAGUACGCCUGUGGCAAACGAUGACAGGAAUUCUAACAUGAUGAAGGAGGCAAUGAAAGCUGAAAGCUGUGGAGUACAGGAGAAGCACUCCAGUGUCCCUGGUCGUGGAUUGGGCCACAAAUUCCCACAGGCCUGGGUCCUGCUCUCCAUCUUUGAAGGUAGGUGAAGCUGGGCAGAGGAAGAUCAAGGAA